rnacentral:rRNA from 1 species
CCUACGGGAGGCAGCAGUGAGGAAUAUUGGUCAAUGGUCGGGAGACUGAACCAGCCAAGCCGCGUGAGGGAUGAAGGUACAGAGUAUCGUAAACCUCUUUUGUCAGGGAACAAAGGCGGGGACGUGUCCCCGGAUGAGUGUACCUGAAGAAAAAGCAUCGGCUAACUCCGUGCCAGCAGCCGCGGUAAUACGGAGGAUGCGAGCGUUAUCCGGAUUUAUUGGGUUUAAAGGGUGCGCAGGCGGUCUGUUAAGUCAGCGGUAAAAGUCCGGGGCUCAACCCCGGCCCGCCGUUGAAACUGGCAGUCUCGAGUUGGAGAGAAGUAUGCGGAAUGCGCGGUGUAGCGGUGAAAUGCAUAGAUAUCGCGCAGAACUCCGAUUGCGAAGGCAGCAUACCGGCUCCACACUGACGCUGAGGCACGAAAGCGUGGGUAUCGAACAGGAUUAGAUACCCUUGUAGUC